GAUGAACGCUAGCUACAGGCUUAACACAUACAAGUCGAGGGGUAACGAGAGGAAAGCUUGCUUUCCUUGUCGACGACCGGCGCACGGGUGAGUAACGCGUAUCCAACCUGCCCCCAACUAGGGAAUAACCUUGCGAAAGUAAGACUAAUACCCUAUAAUUUCCUCAGAUGUCAUCUGACGAGGAAUAAAGAUUUAUCGGUUGUGGAUGGGGAUGCGUCUGAUUAGCUUGUUGGCGGGGUAACGGCCCACCAAGGCAACGAUCAGUAGGGGUUCUGAGAGGAAGGUCCCCCACAUGGGAACUGAGACACGGUCCAAACUCCUACGGGAGGCAGCAGUGAGGAAUAUUGGUCAAUGGGCGGAAGCCUGAACCAGCCAAGUAGCGUGCAGGAUGACGGCCCUAUGGGUUGUAAACUGCUUUUAUACAGGAAUAAAGUUAGCCACGUGUGGUUAUUUGUAGGUACUGUAUGAAUAAGGACCGGCUAAUUCCGUGCCAGCAGCCGCGGUAA
rnacentral:rRNA from 1 species